rnacentral:rRNA from 1 species
GAUGAACGCUGGCGGCGUGCCUAAUACAUGCAAGUCGAGCGAACGGACGAUAAGCUUACUUCUCUGAUGUUAGCGGCGGACGGGUGAGUAACACGUGGAUAACCUACCUAUAAGACUGGGAUAACUUCGGGAAACCGGAGCUAAUACCGGAUAAUAUUUUGAACCGCAUGGUUCAAAAGUGAAAGACGGUCUUGCUGUCACUUAUAGAUGGAUCCGCGCUGCAUUAGCUAGUUGGUAAGGUAACGGCUUACCAAGGCAACGAUGCAUAGCCGACCUGAGAGGGUGAUCGGCCACACUGGAACUGAGACACGGUCCAGACUCCUACGGGAGGCAGCAGUAGGGAAUCUUCCGCAAUGGGCGAAAGCCUGACGGAGCAACGCCGCGUGAGUGAUGAAGGUCUUCGGAUCGUAAAACUCUGUUAUUAGGGAAGAACAUAUGUGUAAGUAACUGUGCACAUCUUGACGGUACCUAAUCAGAAAGCAACGGCUAACUACGUG